UACGUAGGGUGCAAGCGUUAAUCGGAAUUACUGGGCGUAAAGCGUGCGCAGGCGGUUGUGUAAGGCAGAUGUGAAAUCCCCGGGCUCAACCUGGGAACUGCAUUUGUGACUGCACAGCUUGAGUGCGGCAGAGGGGGAUGGAAUUCCGCGUGUAGCAGUGAAAUGCGUAGAGAUGUGGAGGAAUACCGAUGGCGAAGGCAGCCUCCUGGGCCAACACUGACGCUCAUGCACGAAAGCGUGGGGAGCAAACAGG
rnacentral:rRNA from 1 species